rnacentral:rRNA from 1 species
CCGCGCGAAGGUAGCGUAAUCACUUGUUUUUUAAAUAAAGACUAGUAUGAACGGCCACACGAGGACUUAACUGUCUCCUUUGUCCAAUCAGUGAAACUGAUUUCCUCGUGCAGAAGCGAGGAUAUUACCAUAAGACGAGAAGACCCUAUGGAGCUUUAAACUAAAAUCAACUAUUUUUAACUUCUCUCCAAGGAAUUAACAGAUAAUCAAAUAUGCUUGAUAUAAGUUUUAGGUUGGGGCGACCAUGGAGAAAAAGAAAUCCUCCCUGAUGACUCACAAACCAAGAGCCACGGCUCUAAGUAUUAAGAUACUUAACUUCCAUUGACCCAUUUUAUGAUCAACGAACCAAGUUACCCUAGGGAUAACAGCGCAAUCCAUUUCAAGAGUCCCUAUCGACAAAUGGGUUU